UUCUCGGGCCUUUUCUGCUGGCCGCUUCGUAGUGGUUGUGUGUGUAGGGGUCUUAGCUCCUUGCCCAUCCCCCACCAUGAGCUGGCCACCACCGGCCCGCUCUCGGCAGUUCUGCGUCCCAAGGUUGCAGGAUGAGCGGCGCGGAGCCGGGCCUGCCGCGUGCGCAGUAAAAGGUCUAGGCGGCGCCGCGCCCUCCAGCCUGAGAGCACGCAGCCCAGUGGCUGUGCCAGGUGGAAGACUCCAUGGAGGUGACUGAGAACGUUACAAGCUUAAGACCUGGUAUCCCCAGAUUUCCUGGCAGUAGCUGAUGCUGAAGAGACCAUUUGUCUCUGGAGCUGUGCCUAGACUAAGAGACAUGGUCUCACUCCAGACCAGGCGUUUGCAGUCCCCUGCCUCAGCAUCAGCCUGCUGGGCAGGCAGUCGCACACUACUACCUCGCCCAGCAUCUGUGGUUACUGUUCUAGAGUUUGGGGAGUCCACGGGAAAGAAGACAGGCAAAGAUGAACAGAUGUAGAUGACAACCAGCAAGUUCUGUAAAGAACUUUUGCUAUGGUGAACAUACUGUGACUACAGGUUGAUCAAUAAAGACUUUGGAACUAC